AGAGUUUGAUCAUGGCUCAGGACGAACGCUGGCGGCGUGCCUAAUACAUGCAAGUCGAACGAGGUCCAUCCAGUGGCAACACCGGAGAAGACCUAGUGGCGAACGGGUGAGUACCACGUGAGCAACCUGCCCCGAAGACCGGGAUAACACCGGGAAACCGGUGCUAAUACCGGAUAUCCCCACCGGACCGCAUGAUCUGGUGAGGAAAUGGAUUCCGCUUCGGGAGGGGCUCGCGGCCUAUCAGCUUGUUGGUGAGGUAACGGCUUACCAAGGCUUCGACGGGUAGCUGGUCUGAGAGGACGAUCAGCCACACUGGGACUGAGACACGGCCCAGACUCCUACGGGAGGCAGCAGUAGGGAAUCUUGCGCAAUGGGCGAAAGCCUGACGCAGCAACGCCGCGUGAGGGACGAAGGCUUUCUGAGUUGUAAACCUCUUUCAGCAGGGACGAUUAUGACGGUACCUGCAGAAGAAGCACCGGCCAACUACGUGCCAGCAGCCGCGGUAAUACGUAGGGUGCAAGCGUUGUCCGGAUUUAUUGGGCGUAAAGAGCUCGUAGGCGGUUUGGUAAGUCGAAUGUGAAAUCUCCAGGCUCAACCUGGAGUCGCCAUCCGAUACUGCCAUGACUCGAGUCCGGUAGGGGACCAUGGAAUUCCUGGUGUAGCGGUGAAAUGCGCAGAUAUCAGGAGGAACACCAGCAGCGAAGGCGGUGGUCUGGGCCGGUACUGACGCUGAGGAGCGAAAGCGUGGGGAGCGAACAGGAUUAGAUACCCUGGUAGUCC
rnacentral:rRNA from 1 species